rnacentral:rRNA from 1 species
GACGAACGCUGGCGGCGUGCUUAACACAUGCAAGUCGAACGGAAAGGCCCUGCUUUUGUGGGGUGCUCGAGUGGCGAACGGGUGAGUAACACGUGAGUAACCUGCCCUUGACUUUGGGAUAACUUCAGGAAACUGGGGCUAAUACCGGAUAGGAGCUCCUGCUGCAUGGUGGGGGUUGGAAAGUUUCGGCGGUUGGGGAUGGACUCGCGGCUUAUCAGCUUGUUGGUGGGGUAGUGGCUUACCAAGGCUUUGACGGGUAGCCGGCCUGAGAGGGUGACCGGCCACAUUGGGACUGAGGUACGGCCCAGAGUCCUACGGGAGGCAGCAGUGGGGAAUAUUGCACAAUGGGCGGGAGCCUGAUGCAGCAACGCCGCGUGCGGGAUGACGGCCUUCGGGUUGUAAACCGCUUUCGCCUGUGACGAAGCGUGAGUGACGGUAAUGGGUAAAGAAGCACCGGCUAACUACGUG